GAUCUGGCUCAGGAUGAACGCUAGCUACAGGCUUAACACAUGCAAGUCGAGGGGCAUCAGGGUGUAGCAAUACACCGCUGGCGACCGGCGCACGGGUGAGUAACACGUAUCCAACCUGCCCUUUACUCGGGGAUAGCCUUUCGAAAGAAAGAUUAAUACCCGAUGGUAUAACAUGACCUCCUGGUUUUGUUAUUAAAGAAUUUCGGUAGAGGAUGGGGAUGCGUUCCAUUAGGCAGUUGGCGGGGUAACGGCCCACC
rnacentral:rRNA from 1 species